UACGUAGGGUCCGAGCGUUGUCCGGAGUUACUGGGCGUAAAGCGCGCGCAGGCGGCUCGUCAAGUCUGGCGUGAAAGCCCCCGGCUCAACCGGGGAGGGUCGUCGGAGACUGGCGAGCUUGAGGGCGGUAGGGGCUGGUGGAAUUCCCGGUGUAGUGGUGAAAUGCGUAGAGAUCGGGAGGAACACCCGUGGCGAAGGCGGCCAGCUGGGCCGUCCCUGACGCUGAGGCGCGAAGGCGUGGGGAGCAAACAGG
rnacentral:rRNA from 1 species